rnacentral:rRNA from 1 species
AUUGAACGCUGGCGGCAGGCCUAACACAUGCAAGUCGAACGAGUGGCGGACGGGUGAGUAAUGUCUGGGAAACUGCCCGAUGGAGGGGGAUAACUACUGGAAAAGGUAGCUAAUACCGCAUACCAUCGGAUGUGCCCAGAUGGGAUUAGCUUGUAGGUGAGGUAACGGCUCACCUAGUCUACGAUCCCUAGCCGGUGUGAGCGGAUGACAAGAAAGACGGGGAAUGAGACAAGGUCCAGAGUCUUAUGGGAGGCAGCAGUGGGGAAUAGUGCACAAGGGGCGCAAGCCUGAGGCAGCCAUGCCGCGUGAAUGAAGAAGGCCGUCGGGUUGUAAAGUACUUUUGGCGGGGAGGCGUUGCCCGCAGAAGAAGCAACGGCUAACUCCGUGCCAGCAGCCGCGGUAAUAC